UACGAAGGGGCUAGCGUUGCUCGGAAUCACUGGGCGUAAAGCGCACGUAGGCGGACUCUUAAGUCGGGGGUGAAAUCCUGGAGCUCAACUCCAGAACUGCCUUCGAUACUGAGAGUCUUUGAGUCCGGGAGGGGGCGGCGGAAUUCCCGGUGUAGAGGUGAAAUUCGUAGAUAUCGGGAGGAACACCAGUGGCGAAGGCGGC
rnacentral:rRNA from 1 species